rnacentral:rRNA from 1 species
CGCCUGUUUAACAAAAACAUUUCCUUUAGGUUUUUUUAAAGGUACUUUCUGCCCUAUGGUUUAUUUCUAAAUGGCUGCAGUAUUUUGACUGUGCAAAGGUAGCAUAAUAAUUAGUUUUUUAAUUGAAGGCUGGUAUGAAUGGAAAAUUGAGAUACAUUUUUUAUUUGGUAUAAUGUUAAAAUUUAAAUUUUAAGUGAAAAUGCUUAAAAUUCUUGGGACGAUAAGACCCUAUAGAACUUUACAUUAAAUGCUUUGAUUAUUUUUUAUAGAGAUAUUUCAUUAAUGUGGUAAUGUUUUGCUGGGGUGGCAGAUAAAUUAUAACUUUAUUAAUCAAAAUCAUUAUAAGUGUUUUUAUUGAUCUAUUUAUAAGGAAAAAAGAAUAAGUUACCUUAGGGAUAACAGCGUAAUUAUAAUGGAAAGUUCAUAUUUAUAUUAUUUUUUGCGACCUCGAUGUUGAAUUAAGGUAAAUUUCAAGAAGCAGCAUUCUUGAGUUCAGGUCUGUUCGACUUUUAAAUCCCUACUUGAUCUGAGUUCAGACCGG